GUGAAUCAUCGAAUUUUUGAACGCAAAUUGCACUCUCUUCUGAGAGUAUGGCUGUUUGAGGUUCAGUAUUAAUAAAAAUCGGUGUGGUUGCUGCCUUUCGUGUUGUCGAACCGGAUUUGGGUCUUCUUGCCUUCUGUUAAGUGACAUAAAAUUUUGCAUGAUUUUUUCGAACGGAUUUAAAUGAUUUUACUUACGUUUGCGAUAGCGAAUAUUAGGUGCCGGCAUCUUCAUUAUCGCAG
rnacentral:misc_RNA from 1 species